AGACAGAUGUAAAAAUAAAUUACAAAUAUGGGUGUAAAAGCCUUGGGGCUGAAGGUGGGAUGAAUAUUAAUUGCUUAGAGGGCACAGUUUUUGAGUACCUAGGCAACGCAGAAGGGAGAGGGAGUAGAGGGAAUGAGGGCUCUAAGAGGAGAUGGGAUUUUAAUAAGGCUUCGAGUGGGGGAAGGAGUGGUGGUCUGCUGAUUAAGAAGGCAUAAUCCAGGCCAACAGGCACAGUUGGAGAAAGAGGGUGGGAGGAGGAGAGGCAGGUCCCUCCCCUGCUCUCCCCCAACCCAGCCAACUCCUCCUAGCACUGCAGGGAGAGAGAGCAGGGGGAGCAGGAGCGUGCCUCUCCUUGGCCUCACUCCUGCUCUGGCUAAAUCAGGGGUGGGGUUGAGAGAGCGCAGUUCCACUCAGACCGGAGAGCCCUCCCCAGGACCUCAGGCAAGAAGCAAGCACAAACCAAGCAGAAGCGGGAGGAAGAAGAAAAAAACCCAAAUGGAACCAAAGAAACCCGGCGGAGGGCCGACCGAGGGGCUGAGCCUCUUGGAAGGACAGACGGUAGGAAUUCCCUUGCCCCAGCUGUGACUCGGCACCACCCCUCUCCACCCCAGCCCCACGAGUCCGCCAUCAACACCGGCUGGAGACCCUCGUUUGCACGGCUGUGGGGAUGACUGGAUGAAUGACGGCAAAGUGGGGGAGAAGAGCAGGGCUCUGACCAAACCUCGUGGGUCAGGUCUGCUUUCAAAGACCCCCGGGGUAUCCCCUGGGUCUCUCUGGGCGCACGAGGGACCCUCCUAUUGGAUCUCCUUUUUGUCUCCCCACCAGCUGCAUUUCCCCGGGAGGGCAAGAGCUGGGGGUAGUCUGCCACACCGGGACCGACGUGUAACACACACAUACGCUUGCACUGGGGCAGGGGUGCUCUGUUCUCUAUCAAGAAAUUAGUCACAGGGAUGGCAGCUCCACGCUUAGGGGAAACAUGUCCACCAGGGCCCCUCUUCCUCAUUCUCUGUCCUCUGACCCCUUUCUUGCUCAAGAAAUCAGACAUGAGCCUCCUUGGCCCAGUCCUCUCUUAUCCUCUCUACCCAGACCCCGGGACCCAGGCCCAGAGAGGGCCUCCUCACUCCCCUAGCAGGCUGGCAGCCCCUUCCUCUGGAUCCUCCAGCUCGGUCCCGGGGAAGCUGCAACAUCGGUCCAGACUGGACCCGACCUACUCUCAGCUAUCCUGUUUUUGCUGCCCCCGAGGCCAACGGCAGCCAGGCGCCCCCUCCCCGAGGCCAAGCCCGGGCCCACCGAGAAGGGACGAGAGGAGCCGAGGGACGAGAGGACUCUGGGAAAUUACC